rnacentral:misc_RNA from 1 species
AAACAUGUUAUAUUUAGUAUUAGGUUCAUUUACAGAUAAUAUAAACAUAAUAUGAAUUUCAAUCCCUAGUAUAGUUUUUGUAUGCAAUGAACUUUAGUGCAUUUUAAUGCAAUUAAAUGCAAUAAAAUUUAACUUGCAGGCUCAUUUGAAAAAGAAUACCUUGAAUUAAAAAGGCAAGAGCAGAUAGAGAGGUGUGUGAUAAUUAGUGGCAGCAGUUGCAAUUUUCAUUAUUGAAUAUUAUAAAUGCUGACAAACGUUUGUGCAUUGAAUGACAAACUUAAGUUAUUAUUAACAUCAAUGUUACAAUUGAUUACGAUGGAAAACAAAUUAUUUUAAUUAAUUAUACUGUCCAUCUCCAUGACACUAAGUUUGUAAACUGUUUAUAACAUAUAACAGUUUAAAUCUAAAGUUAAGCAUAAUUUCAAAACCAUUAAUUUUGACAGAAAUAGAAGACAUGACGAACUAAUAAACGAACUGAGAAACAUUACAAAAGAACGUGAGUAUGCUGUACGUACAACUAGUUAAUUAACUAGUUAACAGUUUAUUAAAUUGUUAUUAAUGGUUAUUAAGUUAUUACAUCUUUUUUAAUUCUAAAAUUUUAAUCUACAUUAUUUCCGACCCGGACGAAGACAUGCCAGAUAUGUGGAUGAUGGACAACGUUAAUGAAGCGGCUGACCAGACCAAUCCGCAGAUCCGUUCACCCCCUCAGCAUAAAAUCGGUUUGCCUGUUCCACCACCAGUUCCAAGGAGUGGAAUGAUCAUUUCUGCAAAGAAGUCCAAGAGUUGUGCCAUGGCAGAUAAAGACUUGAGAAGUCCACUGAGACCAACUGGUGCUCAUAGUAGUAUUAGCAGGAAUACGGAGACUAGGUGCGCUUUAUCUACUCCACCAAACAUCACAUCUUCAUUGAACCAGGCAACAUUAGAGCAACUCCUUACUAUAAUGGCCGAAAUGCAACAGGAGCAAAAGAAGCAAGGUGAAAUCCUUAGACGGUUGGAACAACGCCAACUCUGUGAACCAGGCGAGCCAGCUGAAGACAUCGAAGAGCCAAUAUUCGUUUUGCCGUGCAAUACAAUAGACGACUUGCAACACCUGGACGCCAACUGAAAACUGAUCACACCAGAAGAAAAAUGGUACGAAAUCUGAGCUUACUGGGCGGUGUUAACCUGAAGUCUGUAGUCUACAGAAUGAUGCAUGAAAUUGUUACACACCAGCUGAGCAUGACGAUGAAUCUAUCGGGGGUGAAGGGCAAGCAGCCCUUAAAUAUUUACACAGAGAUCAUGCAGGCAAUUCACACCAUCAACCUGGGUUGACUCACACUCGGGUGACCGC